rnacentral:rRNA from 1 species
AGAGUUUGAUCCUGGCUCAGGACGAACGCUGGCGGCGUGCCUAACACAUGCAAGUCAAGGGGAAAGUUUUACUUCGGUUUAACAAGUAUACUGGCGGACGGGUGAGUAACGCGUAGGCAACCUGCCCUUUUGAAUGGGAUAACCCAGCGAAAGCUGGACUAAUACCGUAUGCUGCAUAUUAAUCACAUGGUUGAUAUGUGAAAGGCUGCUCUUCGGAGCAUCCGCAAAAGGAUGGGCCUGCGUUCCAUUAGUUAGUUGGUGAGGUAACGGCUCACCAAGGCAGCGAUGGAUAGCUGGUUUGAGAGAGCGAUCAGCCACACUGGGACUGAGAUACGGCCCAGACUCCUACGGGAGGCAGCAGUGAGGAAUAUUGCGCAAUGGAGGAAACUCUGACGCAGCAACGCCGCGUGGGGGAUGAAGUUCUAUGGAGCGUAAACCCCUGUAAGUAGGGACGAAAGGUAGAUAUUCAAAUAGGGUAUUUAUUUGACGGUACCUACAGAGUAAGCUCCGGCUAACUCCGUGCCAGCAGCCGCGGUAAUACGGGGGGAGCAAGCGUUGUCCGGAAUUACUGGGCGUAAAGGGCGUGUAGGCGGUUUGAUAAGUCAGAUGUUAAAGCCCCCGGCUUAACCGGGGAUUGUCAUUUGAAACUGUCAGGCUUGAGUGCGAGAGAGGGUAGUGGAAUUCCCAGUGUAGCGGUGAAAUGCGUAGAUAUUGGGAAGAACACCAGUAGCGAAGGCGGCUACCUGGCUCGCAACUGACGCUAAGGCGCGAAAGCGUGGGGAGCAAACAGGAUUAGAUACCCUGGUAGUCCACGCUGUAAACGAUGAACACUAGGUGUUGGUUUGCCGCAGCUGAUCAGUGCCGCAGUUAACGCAUUAAGUGUUCCGCCUGGGGAGUACGAUCGCAAGGUUGAAACUCAAAGGAAUUGACGGGGGCCCGCACAGCGGUGGAGCAUGUGGAUUAAUUCGAUGCAACGCGAAGAACCUUACCGGGGUUUGACAUCAUAAUGAAGUUUGCAGAGAUGUAAACGUUCUUCGGAACGCUAUGACAGGUCCUGCAUGCCUGUC